rnacentral:rRNA from 1 species
GUAGGGAAUCUUCCACAAUGGGCGCAAGCCUGAUGGAGCAACACCGCGUGAGUGAAGAAGGGUUUCGGCUCGUAAAGCUCUGUUGUUAAAGAAGAACACGUAUGAGAGUAACUGUUCAUACGUUGACGGUAUUUAACCAGAAAGUCACGGCUAACUACGUGCCAGCAGCCGCGGUAAUACGUAGGUGGCAAGCGUUAUCCGGAUUUAUUGGGCGUAAAGAGAGUGCAGGCGGUUUUCUAAGUCUGAUGUGAAAGCCUUCGGCUUAACCGGAGAAGUGCAUCGGAAACUGGAUAACUUGAGUGCAGAAGAGGGUAGUGGAACUCCAUGUGUAGCGGUGGAAUGCGUAGAUAUAUGGAAGAACACCAGUGGCGAAGGCGGCUACCUGGUCUGCAACUGACGCUGAGACUCGAAAGCAUGGGUAGCGAACAGGAUUAGAUACCCCAGUAGUCC